GAAUUCGCCCUUGUUUGAUCCUGGCUCAGGAUGAACGCUGGCGGCGUGCUUAACACAUGCAAGUCGAACGGGAAACCUUUUAUUGAAGCUUCGGCAGAUUUAGAUUGUUUCUAGUGGCGGACGGGUGAGUAACGCGUGGGUAACCUGCCUUAUACAGGGGGAUAACAGUCAGAAAUGACUGCUAAUACCGCAUAAGCGCACAGAGCUGCAUGGCUCAGUGUGAAAAACUCCGGUGGUAUAAGAUGGACCCGCGUUGGAUUAGCUAGUUGGUGAGGUAACGGCCCACCAAGGCGACGAUCCAUAGCCGGCCUGAGAGGGUGAACGGCCACAUUGGGACUGAGACACGGCCCAGACUCCUACGGGAGGCAGCAGUGGGGAAUAUUGCACAAUGGGGGAAACCCUGAUGCAGCGACGCCGCGUGAAGGAAGAAGUAUCUCGGUAUGUAAACUUCUAUCAGCAGGGAAGAAAAUGACGGUACCUGACUAAGAAGCCCCGGCUAACUACGUGCCAGCAGCCGCGGUAAUACGUAGGGGGCAAGCGUUAUCCGGAUUUACUGGGUGUAAAGGGAGCGUAGACGGAUGGACAAGUCUGGUGUGAAAGGCUGGGGCUCAACCCCGGGACUGCAUUGGAAACUGCCCGUC
rnacentral:rRNA from 1 species